UAUUGGCUAUUUAAAUACAAAAUGACCAAAAAUAGUAUCUAUGAUGAUAGGAGUCCCUAAAUAUUUGCAUAAAUACCCAUCACUCCGUGUCAAAUUGUAACUGAGGCUGCGAAAAGGAAGCACACAAAUCGACGCCAUUUUUCAACAGAUUAAGGUUUCUGAGCUCACGAAAUCCUAGUAUUAUUACUUUUAAUGAUAACAAUAGGAAUAAGAAGAGCAGGAUUUCUAUAUUGAGGAUUUACAUGUAUGGGACAGAGGACUAUUUGACUUGAUUUUACUUUAAAAAAACUUUUUAAUUUUAACAAUAGUUCUCCUUAAAUGAUUAAAAUACUUUAUACAUAUUUUUCAUUUUAACAUUAUUUUUAUGACUUUGUAUUUAUUCAUCAUUUAAUAAACUUUUAUUUCUAAA